GAUGAACGCUGGCGGCGUGCCUAAUACAUGCAAGUCGAGCGAACAGACGAGGAGCUUGCUCCUCUGACGUUAGCGGCGGACGGGUGAGUAACACGUGGAUAACCUACCUAUAAGACUGGGAUAACUUCGGGAAACCGGAUCUAAUACCGGAUAAUAUAUUGAACCGCAUGGUUCAAUAGUGAAAGACGGUUUUGCUGUCACUUAUAGGUGGAUCCGCGCCGCAUUAGCUAGUUGGUAAGGUAACGGCUUACCAAGGCAACGAUGCGUAGCCGACCUGAGAGGGUGAUCAGCCACACUGGAACUGAGACACGGUCCAGACUCCUACGGGAGGCAGCAGUAGGGAAUAUUCCGCAAUGGGCGAAAGCCUGACGGAGCAAUGCCGCGUGAGUGAUGAAGGUCUUCGGAUCGUAAAACUCUGUUAUUAGGGAAGAACAAAUGUGUAAGUAACUAUGCACGUCUUGACGGUACCUAAUCAGAAAGCCACGGCUAACUACGUG
rnacentral:rRNA from 1 species